AUGGAAUCUAAGUCCCUAGGUUUAUCAAUCUAAAAGAAAAUACUAAAAGCCCUGACGUUAGAGAUUUGUACCCAUGAGUUCGGAGGUAUAGAGCUCCAUGAAGCUAUGGGAGGAUUCGCAUCGUCUGCAAUGGCGGCUGCGAGGGUGGCCGAAGAAGAUGGGUCGCCGAAGAAGACGAAGCAGGGUGGCUUCAAGACGUUGCCAUUCAUACUAGCGAACGAAGUGUGCGACAGGUUCGCCACGGCCGGCUUCAACGCGAACAUGAUCACGUACCUGACGCAGCAGCUGCACCUGCCGCUGGUGGAGGCCUCGAACCUCCUCACCAACUUCAACGGCACGGCGGCGUUCACCCCGGUGUUGGGGGCGGUCGUCGCCGACUCCUUCGCGGGACGCUUCUGGACCAUCGCCGGCGGCGGCGUGCUGUACCAGAUCGGCAUGCUCGGCCUCGUCGUGUCCGCGCUCGUCCCUGCCCUCCGCCCCGCUCCGUGCGGCGCCGGCGCGGCUGCCGCCCCGUGCCAGCGCGCGGACGGCGGGCAGCUCGCCAUGCUCUACCUGUCGCUGCUCUGCACCGCGCUCGGCUCCGGCGGCAUCCGGCCGUGCGUGGUGGCGUUCGGCGCCGACCAGUUCGGCCUGGGAGGGAGGCGCCCCGGCGGCGAGCAGAAGUGGAGCUACUUCAACCUCUACUUCUUCAGCAUGGGGCUCGCCGUGCUGCUCGCGCUGACGGUGGUGGUGUACAUCCAGGAGACCGUGGGUUGGGGCUGGGGGUUUGGGAUCCCGGCCAUCGCCAUGUUCAUCUCCGUGCUGUCCUUCGUCGUCGGGUACCCACUCUACGUGAAGGUGAAGCCCGAAGGGAGCCCCUUCAAGAGGCUGCUGCAGGUCGUCGUCGCCGCGUUGAAGAAGUUCAAGGAGCCCGUGCCGGAGGACGCCGGCAUGCUCUACCACAACAAGGAACUGGACGCCGCCAACGCCACCGACGGGAGGCUCCUCCACUCCGACCAGCUCAGAUUCUUGGAUCGAGCGGCGAUCGUGACGCCGGGGGACAUCUCCGGCUCCGGCGAGCCGAACCUGUGGCGGCUGUCGACGGUGCACCGCGUGGAGGAACUCAAGUCCAUCGUCCGCAUGCUGCCGCUGUGGGCGGCCAGCAUCACGGCCGUCGCCGCCGGGUCGCACAACUUCACAUUCGCCAUCCAGCAGGCGCGCACCAUGGACCGCCACCUCACGCCACGCUUCCAGAUCCCGCCGGCGACCAUGAUCAUCUUCACCACGCUGACCAUGCUCGUCAGCCUCGCGCUCUACGACCGCGUUUUCGUCCCCGUCGCGCGCCGCUACACAGGCCGGAAGUCUGGCAUCACCUACUUCCAGCGCAUGGGCGCCGGCUUCGCGGUCGCCACCCUGGGCGUCCUUGCGGGCGCGCUCGUCGAGGCCAAGCGGCGCGCUGCGGCGGCCGAGCACGGUCUGCUGGACAUCCCGAGCGCCGUCGUGCCGGUCAGCGUGUUUUGGCUGGUGCCGCAGUACGCGCUCCACGGCGUGGGCGACGCGCUCGCGACGGUGGGACACAUGGAGUUCCUCUACGACCAGUCGCCGGAGAGCAUGCGCAGCUCGGCGGCGGCGCUGUUCUGGGUCGCCGGCUCCCUCGGGAACUACCUGGGCACGUUGCUGGUCACGUUGGUGCAGAGCGCCAGCAGAGGGGAGUGGCUCCAGGACAACAUCAACAGGGGGAGGCUGGACUACUACUACUGGCUCGUCACCUUCCUCUUGGUGCUCAACCUUGCCUACUACGUUGUUUGCUUCCAUUUUUACACCUUGAAAACGUUCGAGGUGGACGCUGGAGACGAGGCGCAACGGCAGCGAGAUGCUGCCGAGAGUGUAGAAGCGGAGAGUGAGCUCUCUGCUCGCCAUGUUGAUGUUGGGGUGUCCGGAAAUGGUGGUGUAAAGCUCUAAGCUAGUGUAAAUUUGUAAUGAAUUGG